rnacentral:rRNA from 1 species
AACGAACGCUGGCGGCGUGGCUAAUCUAUGCAAGUCGAGUGCCAAAGUCCCCGCAAGGGGGCGAGUAGCGCGGCGAAAGGGUGCGUAAUAUAUGGGUAACGUACCCCGGGCACGAGGAUAAGCUGUCGAAAGGCAGUCUAAUACUCGAUGAGACCACGGGAGGGUAUCCUCCUGCGGUCAAUGGACGGGGAUCCGCAAGGACCUGUCGGCCUGGGAGCGGCCCAUAUUCCAUUAGCUAGUUGGUGAGGUAAUGGCCCACCAAGGCAAUGACGGAUAGCCGGACUGAGAGGUCGACCGGCCACAUUGGGAUUGAGACACUGCCUAGACUCCUAUGGGAGGCUGCAGGGACGAAUCUUCCGCAAUGGGCGAAAGCCUGACGGAGCGACGCCGCGUGUGGGAAGAAGUUCUUUGGAAUGUAAACCACUGUCAGGGGCUACCAAGUGACCGCGCUUAAUAUGCGCGGAAGUUGAGGAGCUCCGGAGGAAGCCACGGCUAACUUCGUGCCAGUAGUUGUGGUAAGACGAAGGUGGCUAGCGUUGUUCGGAAUCACUGGGCUUAAAGAGCACGUAGGCGGCCUGUUAAGCGUCUUGUGAAAUUCCCCGGCUCAACCGGGGAAUUGCUGGGCGAACUGGCAGGCUUGAGGCAAUCAGGGGCGUGUGGAACUCUUGGUGGAGCGGUGAAAUGCGUAGAUAUCAAGAGGAACGCCGGAGGUGAAAGCGACACGCUGGGAUUGCUCUGACGCUGAGGUGCGAAAGCCAGGGGAGCAAACGGGAUUAGAUAUUCCGGUAGUCCUGGCCGUAAACGAUGUCCACUAGGUUGGGGAUUUUUUGAUGGAUUCCCGGCCGCAGUAAAAGUGUUAAGUGGACCGUUUGGGGAGUACGGUCGUAAGGCUA